rnacentral:rRNA from 1 species
UACGUAGGGCGCAAGCGUUAUCCGGAAUUAUUGGGCGUAAAGAGCUCGUAGGCGGUUUGUCGCGUCUGCCGUGAAAGUCCGGGGCUCAACUCCGGAUCUGCGGUGGGUACGGGCAGACUAGAGUGAUGUAGGGGAGACUGGAAUUCCUGGUGUAGCGGUGAAAUGCGCAGAUAUCAGGAGGAACACCGGUGGCGAAGGCGGGUCUCUGGGCCGAUACUGACGCUGAGGAGCGAAAGCGUGGGGAGCGAACAGGAUA